CCUACGGGAGGCAGCAGUGGGGAAUUUUGGACAAUGGGCGCAAGCCUGAUCCAGCCAUGCCGCGUGAGUGAAGAAGGCCUUCGGGUUGUAAAGCUCUUUCGGCGGGGAAGAAAAGGUUCGUGCUAAUACCACGAACUAAUGACGGUACCCGAAGAAGAAGCACCGGCUAACUACGUGCCAGCAGCCGCGGUAAUACGUAGGGUGCAGGCGUUAAUCGGAAUUACUGGGCGUAAAGCGUGCGCAGGCGGUUUGUUAAGACAGAUGUGAAAUCCCCGGGCUUAACCUGGGAACUGCGUUUGUAACUGGCAAGCUAGAGUGUGGCAGAGGGGGGUGGAAUUCCAAGUGUAGCAGUGAAAUGCGUAGAUAUUUGGAGGAACACCGAUGGCGAAGGCAGCCCCCUGGGCUAACACUGACGCUCAUGCACGAAAGCGUGGGGAGCAAACAGGAUUAGAUACCCUGGUAGUCCACGCCCUAAACUAUGUACACUGGUUGUACGGGAANCAAUUCCGUUAGGUAACGAAGCUAACGCGUAGAAGUUGACCGCGUGGGAGGUACGGCCGCGAACGUUAAACGUUAAAGUAAGUAAGUUAGACGGCGUGAGACGUGCCGAACGGACGACGACGAGGGAGGUAGG
rnacentral:rRNA from 1 species